CUUAUUCUAAUGGGUUCCUGCUCUGAAGAAAGCUUCUAGCUGCUCGCACAGGUUGCGGAGAGGCUUGGAUCCUGCCCACUACCCUUCUGGCCAUCACUAAGGUCCUAACCAGGGACCACAGGCCUCCUUCAGCAGACAGCUGUAAUUACAUGAAAGUUAUUGGACGUUGAAGUACAAACUCCUGGAACCUGCUGAGACAUUUCAGUGAGCCUCAGCAUUCUACUCUGAAGGCCUCUAGUUGUUGCGGUUACACUCAAGGGAGAAUCAGUCAUCAACUAUUUGUGCAGGCCUCGAAAUUAUACUCUGCGCUUCAAACAAUAGUAACAAAAGGACAGCAGUUGACUCUACAGAAUGUCAAAAAGUAGAAAUUCACAUGUGUAUCCACUUACAUAAGGACAGAAGUUUAUCAGAAGGAAAAUGCAAAAGAACUUUCAGCUAAACUGGACAUAUUUCUUAGCAAUAUUUUUCUGAAAAUGACAAUCCCCACUAACGUUCUACAUCCACAAAUGAGGGAUGCCCGUAGAUGAAGUUUCCAGGGUCACUAUGUCCUCUCAGGCACACACUGCAAACAAGUUUCCCUAACUCUUCUCAGAUCACCCAUUUCUCACUUUCUUAAACAUGAAGCCAUGAAGGAUGCUGGGAGGAAAUGAUGGUGUGACAUAAAGGUGUUUGCUGGCAUGACUCAAUGGACCUAUUGCACAUUAUCUACCUGAAAAGGCAAGGAAAAGGAGAAUUGAGUCCUUUCUCAGCUGUUGACAGUCUUAACGGACCUGCUGAUAGCACCAGGCAGAAUGGAGUUUAUACACUUGAAGUUUAAGAGAAAGCACUUAUGGUCAUAAUACUGGAGUGAUAGUUAGCUAACAGUGCCAGGAAGCCAUCUCAAGGAAGUUUACGAAGCACUGUGUCUUAGUGUUCCCAGUGCCUGAGCCAUUUGCGGAAGAUGGGAAAGCAGUGCAGUUGGUCCACACCAUGUCCUUCUGUGGAAUUCCUCCUUCUGGCCACAGACAAUGGUGGGAAGGAAAUAAGAUGACUACUGGACUGAUUGUGUUGUCAGCUGCCUCUGUAACCAUCCAGACAAAUUAGAAGGCACAGUGCCAGUGUGUGGGGCCAGGGUGGGAGAUGGUAGACAAUAAAGAUGGAAGAAGGAAAGUAAAUAAAGAAUGUGCUUAAGACAGAAAGAGGAAUCUCCUCAUUUCAUUCUCUGGACUUUACAGUCCCCUGUUGAGGUUCCCAGCACAGGGAAGAAUGGCCACAGCUGACUGGAUAGACUCCGAUCCUGUACCUCCCCAGGCUACUCUUGCUAAUAUUUCUGUGUUCACUGGGCUUUCCUUGCCAGUAAUACAGAACACUUACUUUAACCCUGGGGAAGGAUGGGACAGAAGCCAAAGUUACAGGCACUCAGGCUUCCUUAAAACACUGCAUCUUCCUACAUCCAGGGAGAGGCCCCGAUUCCCAAGUGUCUGCAUGCAUGCUGUGAGGACUGAUUGUAUCAACUUGGGAAGUUUAUCUAAAAGAAGCUUAACUAAAUCAGCUCGAAAUUCUGCACCCUAUGAGAGGAAGACCCAUCCUCGGGUGGCUCCUUGCCUGGAUGGUAUAAAGAGGAAAUAAGGAAGGACAGAUCAGUUUCCAUCUCUUCGGAGAAGCUCCAAUCUUUACCUUCACCUUGGACGUCAUCUCCUAGCUGCCAGCGCAGACUCUUCAGCUUCCCUCACAGACCCAUUGGCCUCCUCAUAUGGACUCCUGCAGUGAGCUGCAGACCUUCAGCUGGAUCCUUCUGUCUCCAGUGUCCAGACGGACCCUCUGCACUCUUUCCCCAUCCAACUGUGGGCGGCCAUUGUGAGCCAAGCUUGUAAAUUCUUAUAUACUUGUAUAUUUCAUGUUACAUCUGUCUCUCUAGUAAAUACUGACUGAUACACAUGUGCUUUCUCUUCUUCAGCCCAGAAUUAGCUCAGGUAAAUAAGAUCAGAUGGCCAUAAGAGAGGCAGUUGGUAUUAAUGGAGAAUAACACACUUGAAGGUGGUAUGGAUGACCCUGCUACCCUGAUCUCACUGAAACUGCACGUUGCCUGGCAGGGUGUUGGAUGUGAUAAUGAGUAAUGAACCCACAGUGUGACUGGACUGUGCUUGGCUCUGCACUUAAGCAUUCAUUCCUUCAUUCAUACCUUCUUUAAUGCAUUUGCCCAAAUAUCUACAGAGAGUGCCAGGAGCACAAAGCAGACAGUUUGCCAGUCUGCUGUCAUGGAGCUCACUGACCACUGCAGUCAGCCCUGGUAAUUUUAGUUUUUGACAUCCCUUUGUGAUUAAAGUGCAUUUCUCUUGCCCAGUUGUAAAUUAUAGACUUGUUAGAAUAUUUUCAAGCUUUUGAGAGAAAGAAUAUUAUUUAAUUUUAAUGAUUGGAAACAGAAUCUUGGAUCUCAGAGUUCCUGCUAACUGCUUUUAAUUUGGCAUGACAGUCUUCCAGCCUUGAAGCUCAUUAGACUUUCCUUCAGAUUUACUCAUGGAAAUGGACAUGGAGAGGAGCUGGAUCAAAUCUGGAAGCCAAACCUCUAGUCCUCUCUAUCCUGAGGCUGCUCCAACUACCCCUCACUUCUUUCUGCGCUCCAGGAAAUGUGUAACGAGAUGAGCGACCCUUCCAAAUUACAAAGAAGGAGUCUUUUGCAUCUCACUCUUCAAGUCGGAAUUUUCAGUGCUAACAUUUCCAGCCCCUCCUUGUAACACUAUUCACUGGGAAAAUGCACCCCAUCUGGGGUCUGCCAUGGAGCCUUCCACAUGACGGGGGGUGCAGUGAGAGGAUUUCCGGGAGAAAAAAGCAAAGCUGUUGGGGGAUGAAGACAGUAGUUUUGCUGAGCCAUAGCCCUGAGAAACCCCACAGUAAACUCUGCUAAUAACUUAGCUGAUGAUAU